rnacentral:rRNA from 1 species
GACGAACGCUGGCGGCGUGCUUAACACAUGCAAGUCGAACGGACAGGCGCGGCUCUUGCUGGGUGCACGUGUGGCGAACGGGUGAGUAACACGUGAGUAAACUGCACCUGUCAGUGGGAUAAAUUCAGGAAACUGCGGCUAAUACCGCGUAGGAGCUCCUGCUGCAUGGUGGUGGUUGGAAAAAUUCGGCGGUUGGGGAUCGUCUCGCGGCUUAUCAGCUUGUUGGUGGGGUAGUGGCUUACCAAGGCUUUGACGGGUAGCCGGCCUGGGAGGGUGACCGGCCACAAGGGGACUGAGAUAGGGACCAGACGCCUACGGGAGGCAGCAGGCGGGAAUAUGACGGAAUGAGCCGACGCCAGAUGUAGAGACCCUGCGUUCGUGAUGCCGUCCUUUGGGUUGUAAACCGCUGUCGACUGAGACGAAGAGUGAGUGACGGUAAUUGGUAAAGAAGCACCGGCUAACUACGUG